UACGAAGGGUGCAAGCGUUACUCGGAAUUACUGGGCGUAAAGCGUGCGUAGGCGGUUUGUUAAGUCCGUUGUGAAAGCCCUGGGCUCAACCUGGGAAUUGCAGUGGAUACUGGCGAGCUAGAGUGCGGUAGAGGAUGGUGGAAUUCCCGGUGUAGCGGUGAAAUGCGUAGAGAUCAGCAGGAACACCCGUGGCGAAGGCGGCCCCCUGGGCCGUAC
rnacentral:rRNA from 1 species